AAUAGAUACCCUGGUAGUCCACGCCGUAAACGAUGGAUGCUAGCUAUUGGGGGGAAUCGACCCCCUCCGAAGCGAAGCUAACGCGUUAAGCAUCCCGCCUGAGUAGUACGAGCGCAAGCUUAAAACUCAAAGGAAUUGACGGGGACCCGCACAAGCGGUGGAGCGUGUGGUUUAAUUCGAUGGUAAACGAAGGACCUUACCAAGGUUUGACAUCCCGGUAGCCGUUCUCCGAAAGGAGAAUUUCAUUUAGUUGGACCGGUGACAGGUGAUGCAUGGCCGUCGUCAGCUCGUGUCGUGAGAUGUUGGGUUAAGUCCCGCAACGGGCGCAACCCUUAUGAUUUAGUUGGAUUUUUCUAAACAGACUGCCCUGGUAACAGGGAGGAAGGAGGGGAUGAUGUCAGGUCAGUAUUUCCCUUACACCUUGGGCGACACACGCGCUACAAUGGCCGGUACAAUGGGCAGCUAAGCCGCGAGGUGGAGCGAAUCCCAUUAAAGCCGGUCCCAGUUCGGAUUGCAGGCUGAAACCCGCUGCAUGAAGCCGGAAUCGCUAGUAACC
rnacentral:rRNA from 1 species